rnacentral:rRNA from 1 species
GAUGAACGCCGGCGGCGUGCCUAAUACAUGCAAGUCGAGCGAACGGACGCGAAGCUUGCUUUUCUGAUGUUAGCGGAGGACGGGUGAGUAACACGUGGAUCACCUACCUAUCAGACUGGGAUAACUUCGGGAAACCGGCGCUAAUACCGGAUAAUAUUUUGAACCGCAUGGUUCAAAAGUGAAAGACGGUCUUGCUGUCACUUCUAGAUGGAUCCGCGCUGCAUUAGCUAGUUGGUAAGGUAACGGCUUACCAAGGCAACGAUGCGUAGCCGACCUGAGAGAGGGGUCGGCCACAUGAGAAGUGGGACACGGUCCAGACGCCUACGGGAGGCAGCAGUAGGGAAUCUGCCGCAGUGGUCGAAAGCCUUGCGGAGCAGCGCCGCGUGAGUGAUGAAGGUCUUCGGAGCGUAAAGCUCUGUUAUUAGGGAAGAACAUAUGUGUAAGUAACUGUGCACAGCGUGACGGUACCUAAUCAGAAAGCCACGGCUAACUACGUG